rnacentral:ncRNA from 1 species
GUUGGUGAGGCAAUAGCUUACCAAGGCGAUGAUCAGUAGCUGGUCCGAGAGGAUGAUCAGCCACACUGGGACUGAGACACGGCCCAGACUCCUACGGGAGGCAGCAGUGGGGAAUUUUCCGCAAUGGGCGAAAGCCUGAAGGAGCAAUGCCGCGUGGAGGUGGAAGGCCUACGGGUCGUCAACUUCUUUUCUCGGAGAAGAAACAAUGACGGUAUCUGAGGAA